ensembl:snRNA U6 U6 spliceosomal RNA
GUGCUCAUUUCAGCAGCAUGUAUACUAAGAUUGGAACGAUACAGAGAUUAGCAUGGUCCCUACGCAAGUAUGACAUGCAAAUUCGUGAAGUUAGCAAAGAGACU